CCAGUGCAUGGUGCAUUAGAAAUCACCGAAGCGUGCAACUAGAAUGGAUGGUGGCAAUUAUCUGGGCCUUUCUGUCAGGAAAAAGGCGUGAACAACAGUCAUUUAAUUGAACCUGGAAAUCAUCCACCACUAACAGAAAACUUGUUAACAACAGAAGCUGAUGUAUAUCAUGUCCAAAUGACCAAAUAUAACUGUUAAACACUUUGAAGUGAGAUGCUUUAUUUUCUGAUUCCCUUUCAAAUGAUGAACAUUAGUGUGAUUUUAUGUUUAAAUAAUUAAUUUCGAAACAUUUAUGCAGCAUACUGUUUAAUACAUUGAUGUUAACAUUAUUAUAUUAUUUUGGUUAUCUGUGUUGUUUAUCAAGUUGAAAAAAAUGUUAUUUAUAUACAAAUAAAGCUUAUUAAGACUUA